AGUCACUGACAUUAGAUACCCCCUGUAGUCCAGGGUGUAAACGCUGCAGACUUGGUGUUGGGAACCCUUCGGGGGUGCUCAGUGCCGGAGAGAAGUUGUUAAGUCUGCUACUUGGGGAGUACGUCCGCAAGGAUGAAACUUAAAGGAAUUGGCGGGGGAGCACCGCAACAGGAGGAGCGUGCGGUUUAAUUGGAUUCAACGCCGAAAAACUCACCAGCAGCGACUGUUACAUGAAAGUCAGGUUGAUGACCUUACUAGAUUUUCAG
rnacentral:rRNA from 1 species